rnacentral:misc_RNA from 1 species
CCAGCCAGUAAGCAAAGCCUC